rnacentral:lncRNA from 1 species
GAAAUGUCCAAAUGUGGCUGGACUUUCUCACAGUUAUUUUACAGGUUAGCGUUCUGGUUUUACUUUGAGUUACACCCUACAUGUGAGGGAUGCAGCCGUGUGCUUAGGGCCUAAAGGGUGCUGUUUCCCAGGGCAAGGAACUUGCCCCAGUGGAUUCUCCCUGUCGGGAUUGUCUACAAGCAGUUACAGUGCUGGUGGGGGACACAGAAAGACAGAACAACCAAUCACCCGGAUGUCCAACCUGAUGCUGCACUUUAUGUCUGUCAUCUCCUCGCACCAUCCAACCUGGCCAGGAGAGCAUAUGCCCCCUCCACAGUUUUACAACUGGCUUGUUGUGAUAAUGAAGAAAUGAAGAGUGUUGCAAGUGGAAUAAAUUAAGAAUGUCCUAUCAUUGGAAUCCUACUAAAGUGUCAAGGUCAUGAAAGACACGGAAAGACCAAGAGACUGUCAGUCAGCUAAGGAGGCAUGUUAAUUAAACAUAAUGUGGUGUCCUGGAUUGGCUCCUAGAAUAAAAAAGGACAUUAACAGAAAAACUGGAAAAAUCUGAAUGAAGUAUGAAGUUUAGUUGAUAGUAUGUACGAAUGUUAAUUUCUUAGUUUUGAUAAAUGUACCGUGGUUAUGUAAGAUGUUAACAUUAGAGGAAGCUGGGUGAAGGGUAAACGGAAAUUCUCU